CUGAGCUUCAGAAAAUCUGCCCGCCAUGGCCUCCCAAAGUGCUGGGAUUACAGGCGGGAGCCACCGCGCCCCGCCUCCACUCAGUUCUUGGCAGCUGCUUUGUGCCUUUCUGCUGCCAGAUUGAGCUACCCAGCAGACCUCUUACACCUCUAUGGCCCCAGAAGGAGCUCUUACCUGCGUGUGGUGAUGCGGCGUCCUUGGACAAAGGUGGUGGACGUAGAAACAGAGCGAAAAGCACCAGCCCCGGGACUGAAGGAGAAAGAUGAGGAGGAGAAAUCUGGCAUCGGGACAAGGGAGGAGGAGGAGAGGUGGUUAGAAGAAGACUGCGCUGCCUAUCGUGGUCACCGAGGCGCCAGGCCUCCUCGCAGGGCUGCUGGAGGCAGGGCUCCCAACACAGGAGACAGGCUUGGAAAAGCAACAAGCUCAGUCCAAGGGUUCCAGGAAUCGGAGCUUGCAAAAGUGGGAAGGGGCAAAACUUACCAGAGUGCCCAGGGAAGGAGGAAGAGAAGGUAAAGAAAGGGCCUGAGUGUCGGGAACCCCGGUUCUGAAGCUCUGAGAAGGGGCCCAGGUCAUCUGCAACAAGUAAACAGAUUAGCAAUCCUCUGGUAAUGACAUUUCCCCCCAAAAGUGUGUGAGCCCUGCUGUUAAGUCUGGAAGUAUAAAUGCUAAGCAACUGGGUAGGGUUUUUCUUUUCCGCUUUUUAGUUGGGCUUAUUUAUAAUUAAAUUCCUUUUUAAUGUUGAAUUCGAAGACGCUCACUAGUUAAUUCUGUCCACAAUAAAGAAUAAAGGAAGGAAGGAGGGGGCAGAGGGAUGGAGGACAGAUGGCUCUUUCAGUACAGGCAAAUCAUCAUGACGCGAUGACAGGCAGACACAGCUAGGAGUCCAGCUCUGCCAUGUGCUAUGUGACUCUGAGCUAUUGGCUGUGCCUUGGUUUUCUCAUCUGCAAAUGGAGAUAAAAUUGCCCACCUCUCAGGGUUCACUAGAGAAUUAGGGAAUGUAAAAUAUUUGGCACAUAUCAAUCAUUAAAAAAUACCAGUAUCUGUUUUAUAGGUAAUAAUAAUAAUAUUGUUAACAAGAUGCUUUGAGUCUUGCCUUCACAGCUCUUACUGUAGAGGUCUAACAGUGUAUUAUUGUCGUUGUCAUUUAAUAAAGUGAGUCUGUGAAGUGUCA